AGUGAACGCUGGCGGUAGGCCUAACACAUGCAAGUCGAACGGCAGCACAGUAAUAGCUUGCUCUUACGGGUGGCGAGUGGCGGACGGGUGAGGAAUACAUCGGAAUCUACUUUUUCGUGGGGGUUAACGUAGGGAAACUUACGCUGAUACCGCAUACUACCUGCGGGUGAAAGCAGGGGAUCUUCGGACCUUGCGCGAUUGAGUGAGCUGAUGUCGGGUUAGCGAGGUGGCGGGGUAAAGGCGCACCAAGGCGUCGAUCGGUAGCUGGUCUGAGAGGAUGAACAGGCACACUGAGACUGAGACACGAUACUGACUCCGACGGGCAGCCGAGGUGGCGACGAGUGGAAGAUGGGGGCAAGCCUGCUCCAGCCGUGCCGGCUGGGUGAAGAAGGGCUUCGGGUGGUAAAGCCCCUUUGUUGGGGAAGAAACGCAGCGCGUGAAACCAACGUUGUUGUGACGGUACCUAGAGAAUAAGCACCGGCUAACUUCGUG
rnacentral:rRNA from 1 species